ACAGAGGUCCCAAGCGUUGUUCGGAUUCACUGGGCGUAAAGGGUGCGUAGGUGGCUGGGUAAGUUCGGUGUGAAAUCUCCAGGCUCAACCUGGAAAUGGCAUUGAAUACUAUUCAGCUCGAGGGUUGUAGGGGAGACUGGAAUUCUCGGUGUAGCAGUGAAAUGCGUAGAUAUCGAGAGGAACACCAGUGGCGAAGGCGAGUCUCUGGACAACUCCUGACACUGAGGCACGAAAGCUAGGGGAGCAAACAG
rnacentral:rRNA from 1 species